AACGUAGGUUCCGAGCGUUAUCCGGAUUUACUGGGCGUAAAGCGCGUUCAGGCGGUUUGGCAAGUCGGGCAUGAAAUCUCUCGGCUCAACCGGGAGAGGUUGUCCGAUACUGCUGGACUUGAGGGCAGUAGAGGGUGGUGGAAUUCCGGGUGUAGUGGUGAAAUGCGUAGAUAUCCGGAGGAACACCAGUGGCGAAAGCGGCCACCUGGACUGCACCUGACGCUGAGGCGCGAAAGCGUGGGGAGCAAACAGG
rnacentral:rRNA from 1 species